AAUGGGGGCAACCCUGACGCAGCAACGCCGCGUGAGUGAUGAAGGCUUUCGGGUCGUAAAGCUCUGUCUAGAGGGAAGAAAUGCAGUGUGGUUAAUACCCAUGCUGCUUGACGGUACCUCUGAAGGAAGCACCGGCUAACUCCGUGCCAGCAGCCGCGGUAAUACGGAGGGUGCAAGCGUUGUUCGGAAUUAUUGGGCGUAAAGCGCGUGCAGGCGGUUUGUUAAGUCUGAUGUGAAAGCCCCGGGCUCAACCCGGGAAGUGCAUUGGAAACUAGCAGACUUGAAUACGGGAGAGGGUAGUGGAAUUCCGAGUGUAGGAGUGAAAUCCGUAGAUAUUCGGAGGAACACCGGUGGCGAAGGCGGCUGCCUGGACCGAUAUUGACGCUGAGACGCGAAAGCGUGGGUAGCAAA
rnacentral:rRNA from 1 species